rnacentral:rRNA from 1 species
AUGAACGCUGGCGGCGUGCCUAAUACAUGCAAGUCGAGCGAACGGACGAGAAGCUUGCUUCUCUGAUGUUAGCGGCGGACGGGUGAGUAACACGUGGAUAACCUACCUAUAAGACUGGGAUAACUUCGGGAAACCGGAGCUAAUACCGGAUGAUAUUUUGAACCGCAUGGUUCAAAAGUGAAAGACGGUCUUGCUGUCACUUAUAGAUGGAUCCGCGCUGCAUUAGCUAGUUGGUAAGGUAACGGCUUACCAAGGCAACGAUGCAUAGCCGACCUGAGAGGGUGAUCGGCCACACUGGAACUGAGACACGGUCCAGACUCCUACGGGAGGCAGCAGUAGGGAAUCUUCCGCAAUGGGCGAAAGCCUGACGGAGCAACGCCGCGUGAGUGAUGAGGGUCUUCGGAUCGUAAAACUCUGUUAUUAGGGAAGAACAUAUGUGUAAGUAACUGUGCACAUCUUGACGGUACCUAAUCAGAAAGCCACGGCUAACUACGU